rnacentral:lncRNA from 1 species
CAUGUAAUCCUGGUAGGAAUGCAUCAUGAGUCUCUAGGUCUCAUCUAUAAAUGAAGGGCUUGUAGGGGUGUUCUAGUCCCUUCUGUGGAACAUUGUGAUUCCAAAGCAGGGCUCAGCUUAGAGCCCUAAUUUUGCUUAUAGCUCCUUGUCUUUCCAAGACAUUGACUUAAGGCAGAAUAUGCUUCCUGUGCAUCUCUGAAGCAGGACUUGAAACACAGUAUGUGAUGCACAGAACCUGACACACAGUAACCCUCUCCUGCUCUGUGGGACCCUGGGCUUCUUGGGAAAUGCAGCCCUGAAGAGAAAUACAUGUGAAAUUAAAUGAGGUCCUUCUUGUCUAGAUUUAUGUGAUUUUAUUUGGCCUGUUUAAAUUUGUCCCUAAUGUUUGGAGAAUAUAGUUGAGAAAGAACUUUAUGUUUUUUUACAGUGUGUUUUUUAGUGUAUCCCAAUAAGGAAGAGAAUGGAUGGGAAGAAAUUUGAAUGACCUCCUUUUGAAGUUCCCAGGCUAGGGGACAAAUCGGAGCUGCAGCUGCUGGCCUACACCACAGCCACAGCAACACAGGAUCCAAGUUGAGUCUGCAACCUAUGCCACAGCUCAUGGCAAUACCCGAUCCUUAACCCCCUGAGCAAGGCCAGGGAUUGAACCCAAGUCCUCAUGAUACUAGUCAGGUUCGUUACUGCUGAGCUGCGACAGGAACUCCCUAAAUGACCUCCUUUAUGAAAGGAAGUUGAAGGAUUCAAGACUCUCUCAAGUGUCCACGGUGGCCCAAGAUCCAGAUGCACACAGCCUGUGUCCCAGGGCCUCUGGUGGGAUUUGUAAUGAGGUUUCUGAAAAAGUAAAGGCAGGAAAAGAAUAGAGGAAAAUACAAAAUUCAAAUAGAAAGAGGAAAAAAAAAAGGAACCCUGAUGAAACAAAAGCAGCAGAGAAGGAGUGCUGUUCUGGGGGCAGCAGCUUCUCGUGGUCUGAGCUUAAACAGCCUUGGUGCUCUCGCCAGCCUUCCGUAAUGCCAGAGGGACUCACCUUGGUUCAGGUAUUCUAGAAGGGGUCAGAUAGGGAGGACUGCCAUGAUCUGCAAGUUUGUGUCCCUGCAAAAUGCAUCUGUUGAAACCCAAUGGCCAAAGUGAUGGGAUUUGGAGAUGGGGCCUUUGGGAGGUGAUGAGGUCAUGAGGGUGGCGUCCCUGUGAUUGGAAUUAGUGCCUUUUAUACGGGAAAGAGCCCCCCCUCCUUUACCCCGCCCUGGGGGCUAGCUCUUCCCUCCUGCCAAGAAGAGAGAGAAAACGACUGUGAGGAAGUAGAGCCUCACUAGUCACAGAAUCCGCGCCUUGAUCUUGGACUUUCAGCCCCCAGAACUGUGAGCAAUAAAUGUGCAUAGCUGGUAACCCUCGCAGUCUGUGGUACUCUCACAGCAGUCCAGACUGAUGGAGACCAGCACCUUGUACCUAGUGCCCAGUGAACACGAGGUGCAUGUGCUUUCCUCCCCGUGUCAGAUGUUAGCAUCUGUUCUCCCCAUUUUACAGAUGAGAAAGCUGAGACCAGAGAGCAUCCAUGACCUGCCCAGGUAAGCCUAACAUCAGGGUUCAAGUGGUCCUACUCAUCCAAGCUCAUGCACUCACCCUGCAGGGAGGCGCCUAGAAGGCUGCUUCUCAGACCAGCACCUGGCGCACAGGGACAGCUGUGUUAUUUCUCAUGCUGGCUGCUUCCUUUCCAAUCAGGGCGAUAUUGACCUACAUGCUAUGUGAUUUUAAAAUAUUUGGAAAGCGCACAUUAUCUAGUGGGGGUCCUCAGUUAAUGGAUCAGAGGUGCUAGGAGAAUUGUACAGACAUCCCCAGAUAUUAAACCAUCUAAAAGCUCUGCAAUAUUUAAAGGACUUUUACAUCCAUUAUACUAUUUCUUCCUUCUGUGAUGCCAUUGAGUCAAAGAAACUGCCAAGACAUAAAAGGUGACACCAAAUCAUCUGUAAAAGUAAUAAAUUUGUCAGAAACAAAUCACAUUUGGUUUUCAUUUUGUUUUUGAAGAACUGACAGUAACAUAUAUUUGCUUGGACAACAACGUAGGGCUUAUUUCGUCAACAUCACAAUAAAAUUUUUGAAUCCGUUUCUCUCAGACACUGAAGAGAGUUCCAAAUUUCUUUGGUCUCAGAUAAGUCUAUGAGGUCUCAGAAGCGUGCUGUCUCCCCCAGCCCCUGCUCGCAGUUCUGCUCUGCUCUGGGCACUUUGCCCAUUGCUGGGGCAACAGCAAUGAAAAAGAUAACCUCAUUCUGGAAGAAAGACAAAAACGAGCAAACCAAAUAAUUACAAAUUAUGGUAACUAUUCUGAAGGACACAAGCAAGGUAAUGACGUUGAGAAUAAUCUCAGGCACUGUUUUACUUGAGACUGUUUUGAGGCCUACGGAAGGAUGUUGGGGUGUCUACCUAUGUGUUUAAAUGGGUAGUUCAUAUUUUCCUGAGCUGAAUAAGAUGUCACUGGAAGUCUCCCGCCUUCUCUAGAAAGCCAUCUGGAAGCUCUUAGAGUUAUCCGUUCUCCACCGGAACCAUGUCCCUUCGCCAGGCAUGAGUGAGCCGCAUGCUGGGCUCUGACAGUCCCAUAAGCACCUCAGUGUGAUGGGUAGGCGUCUACAUUGAGGUCUUGUCAUUUCAGCUCUGCACCAUUGAGUGAUCUCUUUGAAGGUGUUUCUAAGUGACCAUUAAGGAUCUGAAUUUAAGUGAAAUCCAACUGUGAAUGGUAGUACCGGUGUCAUCUGAGGACUAAUAAGUCAACAGAUGCUUUUCAUGCUUGGCAGUGGCCCACCCUGCCUGGUAGCUGCCAAGGUCCUUUAAUGGGAAGAAUAGGAGAAAUCCCCGUGUUCAAAGACUAAAAUGGUGCAUGUGUCUGUGUGGUGGCAGGGGCUGUGUAUUACAAGCUCAUUUCAUUCUGGGAGAGGCAGUAUGGAUUCUGAACAGCUUCUAAGAUGCUUGAGGGCAGAAAAUGUCCCUUAUUUGGGUCAACAUCCCUAGUGUGUGCCCAGCACAGCACCACACACAGCACAUGUUCAGUCAGUGUUUUGAUGAAUGAAUCAAGUACUCGGGAAAGUUGAGACAGCAUGAUGUAUAGCAAGAAAAACAGACUUUCCAGCCAAUUAGGUCCUUCCAGCCAAUUAGAUCCGAGUCCAUGUGUCAUGGACUGAAUGUUUGUGUGCCUCCAAAAUUCAUAUGUUGAAACCCUACCCCCGAGUGUGAUGGUCUUAAGAGAUGGGCUUUGGAAGGUAACUGGGAUUAGACAGAUCAGGAGGGUAGAACCCUCGUGAAAGCAAUCAGUGCCCCUUAAAGAAAAGAAAACUUUUCUUUUUUUCUUUUUUUUUUGGGGGGGGGGUCAUGCCUACAUCAUAUGGAAGUUCCCAGGCCAGGGAUCCAACCUGUACCACAGCAGCCACCCAAGCUGCUAUACAGUGACAACGCCAAAUCCUUACCCCACUGCACCACAAGGAAACUCCCUUGGUGCCCUUUUAAGAGUCACAAGAGAGCUUGCUUCUCUGCCCUCCAUAUAUGAGGAUACAAGGAGAAGUCUGCAGGCCAGAAGAGGGCCUCACCAAAACCCGACCAAGCUGGCACCUGGUCUCAGACAUCCAGCUUCUAGAACUGUGAGAGAUAUAUUUACUUAUAUCAUGUCUAUGGUGAUGUUAUGGCAGCCUGAACUAAGGCACGAUGUGACCUUGUCAGACUCUCUAACCUAUAACUGGAUUCUCCAGGAUUGGAGAAAAUACACAUAGAUCGCAUGGUCUACAGAGGGGACCUGGAAGGAAUUAUUCCCGUGUAAGAGCUGAUGGUGAUGUGAGGUUAAAAACCUGCAGGGGCAGCAGGAAUAAAGUCUGCUUCUGUCACACAUUCCAUCUGCUUCCUGUCGACCUAGGAUGCUGGAGCAGCUCAUCUGAAUUGUAAAAGUGCCAAGAGGGUGGGCCUGGCAGCCAUGGUGACCAUUUGCAGGACUGGAGAAGCCCUAGAUUCCCCCCAGAAUCCUAAAUGCCUCUGGAGAAUAGUUUGGCAACUAAGAAGUUGCCAUAUGAUCCAGCAAUCCUACUCCUGGGUAUAUAUCUGGAGGAAACUCUAAUUCAAAAAGAUACAGGCAGAGUUCC